GACGAACGCUGGCGGCGUGCUUAACACAUGCAAGUCGAACGGAAAGGCCCUGCUUUUGCGGGGUGCUCGAGUGGCGAACGGGUGAGUAACACGUGAGUAACAUGCCCUUGACUUUGGGAUAAAUUCAGGAAACUGGGGCUAAUACCGGAUAGGAGAUCCUGCUGCAUGGUGGGGGUUGGAAAGAUUCGGCGGUUGGGGAUGGAAUCGCGGCUUAUCAGCUUGUUGGUGGGGUAGUGGCUUACAAAGGCUUUGAAGGGUAGCCGGCCUGAGAGGGUUACCGGCCACAUUGGGACUGAGAUACGGCCCAGACUCCUACGGGAGGCAGCAGGGGGGAAUAUUGCGCAAUGGGCGGAAGCCUGAUGCAGCAACGCCGCGUGCGGGAUAACGGCCUUCGAGUUGUAAACCGCUUUCGCCUGUGACGAAGCGUGAGUGACGGUAAUGGGUAAAAAAGCACCGGCUAACUACGUG
rnacentral:rRNA from 1 species